UGGACCAAAACCAAGAGUACAACCCUUCCUUUUUCUAAGGGAGCCGUCAAUCACCUUGUCAUAAGGACUUCCAACGAGAUUUAUGAACCAAUGUGAAGGAAAGGAGAGAAAUUUAGAGAGAUACGUGAGAGAGAGAGUUUAGAGAUAAGGUUCAUCAUCUUCUUCAUCUUCAAGAACAAACCCUGGCACUAAAUCUUCCUCAAACACCAUCAAGAAGUCAUCUUUACCUCUUCUACUCUUAAAAAAGGAGCUAGCAUUCAAGGUGAGGAGCACCUAGGAAGAACUCAGAUCAAAGAAGCUAAGGAGAAGGAAAACAGUAAAGAAACACUAUGCCCAAAGAGUAACCUACACAACUCAUUCGCACUCUCUAUGUUCAAUCUGAACAGUAGAAAAGCUUCAGAAGAUCUGAAGAUAGUUAAGCUCUGAUAUGGAUUCAGAUCACUUGAAGUUCUGAAGACCAGACGUUCUGAAGAUCCAGAUGCUCUGAAGAUCCAAAUGCUCUGAAGGUUCAGAACAUCUGAUGGUCCAGAGGCUCUAAAGGUCCAGAAGUUCUGAAGGUCCAGAAUCUGAGAAGUGAAGACUCUGAAGUCCAAGAGUAAGCUGGUUCUGAAGACCAAGUACUUCUCCUCUGAGUUCAGAAUUAGAAGUUACAAAGGUCAGAGGAUCCAUGCUUCCCUCUAACUCUGAUCACAAGCUUCACAAGUUACAACACAAAGGGUCGCUCUGAUAAGAAGUCAACUAGGAUAAAGGUCAUGUCACUAUCCAAAGUACAAAAGCUAUUGUACUAUCCUGACGACCUUACCUAAAGUGCUAAGUCACAGUAGAACCUGGAAAUCUGAGAUCUGCCCUCCAACGGUAGCAUUUCCAUGCAACGUCCAAACCCUAAUCCUUGGAGUAUAUAAAGAGGAUGAAGAUUGAAAGAUGACGCCUAAGAAACUUGUUCACGCUCAAGCAUUAUUCAUAUAUUCCCUUAGCAAUCUUUCUUCAAACUGAAUUUAGUGUGUUUACUUUAGCUUUCUGAGAAGCAUUUCUGUGUAAACCCACACUCUUAAACAGUUGUUUAUUUGUUCCUUAAAGAGACCAAGGUUGGUUAGAUCCUUGAGAAGACUAAGAGAGUGAAUCUUAGUGAUAGCUAAGUCAGUGUAUUGUUAGUCACUUUGCAGGUUGCAAGUGCAGUUCUAACAAACUCUGAUUAGUGGAUUGUCUUCAUUCUAAGAAGGAAGAAAUCACCUUAACGGGUGGACUGGAUUAGUUUGAGGGAUUUAUCAAGUG